rnacentral:rRNA from 1 species
ACUUAGUGGCAGACGGGUGAGUAACAUGUGGGUAUCUACCCUUUGGCCUGGAAUAACACGAGGAAACUUGUGCUAAUACCGGAUAAGUCUUUACGGAGAAAGCUUUAUGCACCAUUGGAUGAGCCCGCACUUGAUUAGUUUGUUGGUAGGGUAAUGGCCUACCAAGACUAUGAUCAAUAGCUGAUUUGAGAGGAUGAUCAGCCACAUUGGGACUGAGACACGGCCCAAACUCCUACGGGAGGCAGCAGUGGGGAAUCUUGCACAAUGGAGGAAACUCUGAUGCAGCGAUGCCGCGUGAGUGAAGAAGGCCUUUGGGUUGUAAAGCUCUUUCGUCGGGGAAGAAAAUGACUGUACCCGAAUAAGAAGGUCCGGCUAACUUCGUGCCAGCAGCCGCGGUAAUACGAAGGGACCUAGCGUAGUUCGGAAUUACUGGGCUUAAAGAGUUCGUAGGUGGUUGAAAAAGUUGGUGGUGAAAUCCCAGAGC